UCCCCACCCAUCUCACCUUAUUUGACCAAACUAUUCCUUGGAAAAGUGAGGCCAAAUACUUAGGUGUCACCCUCGACCAGAGAUUAUCGUUCGCUCCGCACCUCAGACGCGUCUUGAGCCGUGCGAACCACUACAUCCACCGACUCUACCACCUAGUUGGAAGGAAAAGUAAAUUGUCACUUAGAAAUAAGUUGACAAUUUAUGUUACAAAACCUGCAUCCGUCCAGUGUUGACUUACGCCAGUCCGGUGUUUGCUCACACUUCCUGCACAGACCUUAAGAAAUUCCAGACCCUCCAAAACAAAUUCUUACGCCGAGCCGCGGAUGCCCCGUGGUUCGUGC